rnacentral:piRNA from 1 species
UUGCACUGAUGACUUGAAAAAUCUGUC